rfam:Triticum aestivum genome assembly, contig: Triticum_aestivum_CS42_TGACv1_scaffold_376198_5AL
CAAGUACUUCCUCAGUCCGAAAAUACUUGUCAUUAAAAUGGAUAAAAAGAGAUGUAUCUAGAACUAAAAUACAUCUAGAUACAUCCCCUUUUAUCCAUUUUGAUGACAAGUAUUUCUGUACGGAGGGAGUACCAA